CAGUAGCCGCGGUAAUACAGAGGGUGCGAGCGUUAAUCGGAUUUACUGGGCGUAAAGCGUGCGUAGGCGGCUUUUUAAGUCGGAUGUGAAAUCCCUGAGCUUAACUUAGGAAUUGCAUUCGAUACUGGGAAGCUAGAGUAUGGGAGAGGUUGGUAGAAUUCCAGGUGUAGCGGUGAAAUGCGUAGAGAUCUGGAGGAAUACCGAUGGCGAAGGCAGCCAUCUGGCCUAAUACUGACGCUGAGGUACGAAAGCAUGGGGAGCAAACAGGAUUAGAUACCCCAGUAGUCCCUGUCUCUUAUAC
rnacentral:rRNA from 1 species